rnacentral:rRNA from 1 species
UACAGAGGUGGCAAGCGUUGUUCGGAAUUACUGGGCGUAAAGGGCGCGUAGGCGGCCAUCUAAGUCAGACGUGAAAUCCCCCGGCUUAACCUGGGAACUGCGUCUGAUACUGGAAGGCUUGAGUAUGGGAGAGGGAUGUAGAAUUCCAGGUGUAGCGGUGAAAUGCGUAGAUAUCUGGAGGAACACCGGUGGCGAAGGCGGCAUCCUGGGCCGGUAUUGACGCUGAGGAGCGAAAGCCAGGGGAGCAAACGGG